UGAGGAAUAUUGCUCAAUGGGCGAAAGCCUGAAGCAGCAACGCCGCGUGCGCGAUGAAGGCCUUCGGGUCGUAAAGCGCUUUUGAGAGGGACGAGAUAGGACGGUACCUCUGGAAUAAGUCACGGCUAACUACGUGCCAGCAGCCGCGGUAAAACGUAGGUGGCAAGCGUUAUCCGGAUUCACUGGGCGUAAAGCGCGUGCAGGUGGCUUCGUAAGUUGGACGUUAAAUCUCCCGGCCUAACCGGGAGGAGUCGUUCAAUACUGCGGGGCUGGAGGGCAGAAGAGGGGGGUGGAAUUGCUGGUGUAGUGGUGAAAUGCGUAGAUAUCAGCAGGAACACCUGUGGCGAAAGCGGCCCCCUGGUCUGCUCCUGACACUCAGACGCGAAAGCUAGGGGAGUGAACGGGAUUAGAAACCCCGGUAAUCCUAGCCGUAAACGAUGGAUGCUAGGUGUGGGUGGUAUUGACCCCAUCCGUGCCGAAGCCAACGCGUUAAGCAUCCCGCCUGGGGACUACGACCGCAAGGUUA
rnacentral:rRNA from 1 species